rnacentral:lncRNA from 1 species
CUUGAUGCUUUCCUAUGGUGCUUUGUUUAUGCAUUAUUCAUAUAAGGUUCCAUCAAUCUGGCUAUGACAAUCAUUGAAUUCAUUGCAAAAUAUUCAGAAAUAUAUUAGGAGAUCCAGAUGCAAUGUUAAUUGAUACAGCAUGCUACAAGAGCAGGGUUGCAAGGUGAUUGACCAAUAAUACUGGUAGUUAAAAGGAAGAAGUGCAUAAUCAUGGAUUAAAUAGGGUGGAACGCUUGGAACUGACCAAACAAAAAUAAUUCAUACAUAAUGUUGGGUAUGAG